AUGGCCGACGCGGGUGAACGUGCAGUAACUGUUCUUAUCAGGUUAAUAUCUGAUACUUGUCCUACUUGGACACUAUAGGUAUUAAACUUACUUUUUUUUCUUUGCAAUUUGGAGGAAUGCGUGAAGCCUGCUUCACCUCUGCCGCUUGUCGGCCAGGUAUUGCACUAUCUCCACGGGUAUUGCACUAUCG